UGGACAAGGGGAACAUCGAGUCAUUCAUAGCGAAGGAAGUCGAGAAGAUCAAGGCCAAGGGAUCCUCUAUGUACAAAAAGGGGAAGAAGUACGUGUGCCACAAAGAGAAAGACCAAGGAUGGGCUCUAUGAGCACCUUCUCUCGCAUGCACGGGAUGCAUCGAUUCAUUCUAACGACUACAAGGUCGGUGGACAACAUGGUGCCUCCUGAAGGCUCUGUAUCCCAACUAGGCCUACUCAUGAUCUUUCUCAUCUGAAGCUGCAAGUGCCACUCAUCAUCAAUAUAUGUGAUGAUGUUUUACUUUUGUGAAUAUGCAUGGGGUUGUGAACUGUUGGAAACUUCGUUUGCUUUUGUAUUACGUAUACAUAUGGUUGUAAUGUAGUAUGUC
rnacentral:lncRNA from 1 species